rnacentral:lncRNA from 12 species
AUGACAACGGCGUCUGGGCGCCCCGGAGUGGGCGCGUGGGGACGCACGUGGCCGGGGUGGGCUCCGGUUUGCCUGACCCGUGGACCAGCGAAACCUGCCUCUCUGGGGCUCAGAUGGUUCCCUGCCGCCCUCCAGGUUAGCUCCGCUCCAGGUUCGCGCCGGAGCCCCGCGCUGCUCGGCGAGCCCCGAGCGGCCUCUCAGCUGUGGCGCCCCGCCGCGCCGCCCCCUGGCGCGGAGCCGGCGGGAACGUGCGGAUCUCGCGCAGCCGGUUCCGCCGCCGCCGACGGGGCGGAGACUGGGCGCCCGCGUGGCCCCCGCGGCCGGCCGGGAGGGGCGGGAGCCCCGGGCUGGGUACCCUCCCCCGGUGGGGGGCGCAGGCCGCCGGCUGUCCCGAGGGCCUGAGCUCUGCCUGGUCCGAACGGAACAUUUUACGCCGCAGCUCUAAGACGACGCUCCCGAGGUUGCUUGGAUCGGAACAGGCAUGUGCAAAAGCAGGGGCAGAGCCUCCGCGUCCUCGGCUGAGGAUGCAGCACUGGACGGGAGCCAAGCCCUCAUGCCGGCGAGGCCGGGCAGGCAGCCUCCCACUCACCCAGGAGGUCGGGAGCUCCCGACCUCUCCCGGGGCCCGCAUCCCCUCUGCGUCUGCCCUGGCCCUCUGCUCCCCGUGCUUUGAGGAUAGGCAUGGACUCCCCUGCUUCUGGCACUCACACCUGCCAAGGGACUUAGGGUUGCCCUCUUGGUCCUCAUCCUCCCCUAGUACCCCCACCCCAACCAUCCCGUCUUCCCGUGACCCAGUCUCCGCUAGACCUAGACCUUUCCUCAGCUCCACCCCUGACGCUUGACCCUCGCCACAGCUGAAGCUCCCUUAACUCCUUCAGCAGUGAGCCCCCACGCUCAUUCUCAUCCUUGUUUCCCUGUCUGCACAACCUUGUGGCUGUUUUUGGCUCCCUUUACCCCUAAAUCACACAAUCCAUCCUUAACAGGGACUCCAAAUACUGCCCUUCCUUGCUGUCAUGGUCUCUGACUCAGUCCCCAACGCCUUCUCGAAUCUGGGAUCACUGGCCCAGUCCAGCACAGAAGUUUCUCAUGACUGGGCCUGAUGGAGUUUGUGUGACCUGCUGGUGUCCGCACUUGAGACUCCAGCUUCUGCCCUGCUCUGGACCCCACUCCCAGCCUGUACCCUCACUUGUGCUCACAGAACUGUUGGUGAAUCCAGACGUCUGACGGAAACCUCUCUUCCGGUCCAGUAGGCCUGUGGGGGUUCAAAGAGCAGAUUCGGUUACUGCUUCUUCUGCCCAAAAGGACAGAGCCCCAUUCCUGAAUCUCACCUGCUCUUGCAGGUCCUUUGUCCUCCAAGGACUUCCUAGGAUGAUGGAGAAGGAGAGAAGCUUGCCUCAUCCUUCCCUCUGGCACACCCUGGGUGGCUGUUUGAGCAGCAGAACAUUCCCACCAAAAAUUGGUAAAGGAAGCAAGAGCUGGUUUAAUCCUCAGAAUCCUGGCUGCUUCUGUUUCCUGGAGUUCAUAAUGGCAAUGUUGUCACUUUCUGAGCACCUACUCAGUGUAUUAGUGGACCCCCAGAAAGGAAGAUCAUCACCCUCUCGCCUGGCUUAGCUAAAUCCUACCCCUUCCAUCAUGACUCAAGACCCAUGUAGCCAAGGGCUUAAUUAAGAGCCCACCUAUAUCACUUUCCAUAGUUUUCUGUUGUCACUGUCUCCAGUAAAAGACAGUGAUGUUUACUCAGUCCCUAUGAUCAGCCCUGGUGUACCCCAGCACACCUAGACCAGACAGCCAGUCGCAUGCCAAGAGAGGAUGGAAUCCCCUUUCCAGGUGUACUGAGGAUGUGUGCUGUGGAUGAGUGCCCAAGAAGAUAUGUGCAUGCAGGUCCCUCAUGCCCCAUAAGGCCAUCAAAAACUAUUCUUGGCCCAUUACUGAGGACACACUGUGUCCUGCAUCCAGAUGAGAAUAGGAGUCCAUCCUUUCAGGGAUACACACUAAAAUAGUGUUUCUCAUUUUCCCAGAUUUUUUUUGCACCAGGAAAAAGCACUGAUAAAUAGGGUUCAACAGGGGCUUGCUAACUUUUUACUUUGCCAAGUUCAUUGACAGUAAGUACCAUCUACUAUCACCAUCAUUUCAUUUAUAAAUGAAUUUUAAUUCCAAUAAUAUGGGAAUGACAUUGAUGCCUUACUAACAGAUUUUGCUUUUUAAGAAGUUUUUGUUUUGAAGUGAUUGCAAACUUACAGAGAAAUUGCAAGAAUAGUACAAUGAACUCUCAUAUACCCUUCCCUCAGAUUUACGAAGUACUAACAUUUUGCCAUAUUUGGUUUAUUGUUCUCUCUCUUUCGCUCUCUCUCUUUACACACACACACACACACACACACAGGGAAGAAUUCAUUACCUAAACCAUUUGAAAGUAAGUUGUAGACAUGGCACCUCUUAACCCUGAAAUAGAGUAGUACUAUUAUCAAAAUUGGGAAAUUUAACAUCUUUUUUUUUUAAAGAUUUUAUUUAUUUAUGAGAGAGAGAGAGAGAGAGAGGCAGAGACACAGGCAGAGGGAGAAGCAGGCUCCAUACAGGGAGCUGGAUGUGGGACUAGAUCCCGGGACUCCAGGAUCAUGCCUUAAGCCAAAGGCAGGCGCUAAACCACUGAGCCACCCAGGGAUCCCCGGAAAUUUAACAUCUUUGAUACAAUGCUCUAAUCUGAUCUAUGUACCUUCUUCAGAUUUUGCCAGGUUAUUUUGCCAAUAAUGUCCCCUCCCCCCACUGCUGCAACUCCCUCCUCCUCCCCAACUCCUUUCUUUUCCCUCUCUUCCUCUCUCUUCUCCUCCCUCUUCCCCUCCUCCUAAUAGCUAUUUUUUCUGAUCCAGGAUCCCAUCCAGGAUCACAUAUUGCGUUUAGCUGUCAUGUCUCUUUAGUCUCCUUCAAUCUGGAACAAUUUGUCAGCCUUUGUCUUUCAUGACAUUGACUUUUUCUUUUUUUAAGUACAGGCCAGUUAUUAUGUAGAAUGUCCUCAGUUGGAGUUUGGCUGUUUCCUCAUGAUUGUAUUCAGGCGAUGCAUUUUUGCCAAGAAUACCACAGAAGUGAUGUGUCCUUUCUCAGUAUAUCACAUCAAGAGGCACAUGACAUUGGUUUGUCCUAUUUUGAGAAAUGUUAAUUUUGAUCACUUGGUGAGAAUGGUGGCAACUGUGUCUCCCUACUGUUAAAUUACUAUUUUCCCCUUGGAAUUGGUAAGUAAUUUGUCAGGUGAAUUAGCAAGUCUUUUAAAUGAAAUUAAAUCAGCUUUUUGGAAAACUCAUUCCAUAGCCACUAUUUCCCUUUCCCUCAUUUGCUCUUGCCUGUUGAAAAUAUCUUCAAAUCAGCAGCGAUCCAUACGGUGGCUCUUAAAAAUCACUGCACAGGGAUGCAAGCAAAUUAGUCAUUUAUCUAAUAAAUAUUUGAGUACUCUAUAAGCCGUGUACA